GUCUGGAGUAGCUCAGUUGGGAGAGCGUUAGACUGACGAUCUAAAGGUCUCGGUUCAAUCCUGGGCUUUGGCA